AAACUUAAAGGAAUUGACGGAAGGGCACCACCAGGAGUGGAGCCUGUGGCUUAAUUUGACUCAACACGGGAAAUCUCACCAGGCCCGGACACUGGAAGGAUUGACAGAUUGAUAGCUCUUUCGUGAUUCGGUGGGUGGUGGUGCAUGGCCGUUCUUAGUUGGUGGAGUGAUUUGUCUGUUUAAUUCCGAUAGCGAACGAGACUCUGUCCUGCUAACGGACCUUAGUGUUUUUCUAGACGGUGUGAUUCGGAGCAAGAGUCCAUGGGCGUAAGCCCCGGUCUCGGACGAUGUCCACUGAUCCUUGGUGCGUUGGUGUUCCGCGUGCCAUCGGAGAGUCGAGUGUUCGCAUUCUUCGCCUCUGUGGAUUUCUCGGUUCAUUGACAAAGCGCCUCGGAGUACGUUUCUUCUUAGAGGGAUUGACGACUUAUAAGUCGUAAGAAACAGGGAGCAAUAACAGGUCUGUGAUGCCCUUAG
rnacentral:rRNA from 1 species